rnacentral:sRNA from 1 species
UAUUUACCCAGUAGCAUAUGCUAUAUUUGAGAGGGAGAAUGCUACUAUCUAGAGGUGGUUUAUUCAGCAUUUGGGCGAAGAUUUGAAGAUGAUGAAUGGUAAUGAAUGGACAUUUAUGAUGGAUAUGCAAAAGGGUCUACAAAAUAUUAUAGAUGAUUUGUAUCCCGAAGUUGUUCACCAAUUUUAUGUUAGACACAUGUACAACAAUUUCUUUAGAACUGAUUUUAAGGGUUUAAUUCUUAAGGAAUACUUAUGGAAGGCCGCAAAGUUGACAAUAGUGCCCGAAUGGAUGUUUUGGAUGGGUGAGAUGGAGAAAGAAAGUACUGCAACGCAUAAUUGGUUAAAGAAAAGGCACCCAAGUGAAUGGAGUAGGGCUUAUUUUCAGACAAAGGUUAAGAGUGAUAUUUUUUUAAAUAAUCUAUGCGAUGUCUUCAAUAAUGUUGUAUUAAAAGAAAGGGAAAAUUUUAUAUUGACAAUGUUGAUUGAUUUGCAUAUAAGUUUCAUGAAAAUGAUACAAGCAAUAAGGGACAAGAUGAGAAGAGUAGUAUGACCUUUGUGUCCUAAAGCUCAAAAGAAACUUAUGUCAAACAUUGAGAUGGUAGAGCUAUAUGAGGUGGAUUGAUCUGGAGGGGCCCAGUCAUAUGUGAAAUGUUCUAGUGGGGAAUAUGUUGUUGAUCUAAUGAACAAAACAUGUGCAUGUAGGAUAUGGGAUUUGACUGGGGUUCCUUGUGAUCAUGCAUUUGCUGCCAUUAUAGACUGAAGGGAUGAGUCGUGGAAGUACAUGCAUGAGUGUUAUAGAGUAAGUACAUAUAUGAACUGUUAUAAGAAUAUUAUAAACCCUAUCAAUGGGAUAAAAUUAUGGCGUCAAGUAGAUGCCCCUCCAAUCAAGCCACCAGAAUGGUUUGUGCCUAAAAAGGGAAGAAAACAGAAGAAGAGAAGAAGACAGGUAGAAGAAUAUGUCAUAACCCAUUCGGGGUCCAAAGUAAAGUUGAACAAGAAGGGUACCGUGAUGAUUGCUUGUAGUUUAUGUGGAGAGAUAGGUCACAACAAGAGGUAUCAUCAAAAGGCCAAUGCAACACAUGAGGUAUGUUUACAGAUGUGCUAUAAUUUUUAACAUACUAUCUGAUCUAAUGUGCAUUAGUUUAUAUUCUAGUGAUAGGAUUUUUCUUGUGGGGCUGUAGAUCAUACACAUGAAGGAAGCUUAAGGGAUGUGCGGAGUGAAAGAUUAAGGGUAAUUACAACUAUUGCAAUAUCAUGCUAUAAAUGAAUCUGGCCAAAUAAAUUUUUCACUACAUAUAUGAUGUUAUGACACUAUUACAGGUAAAACUCAUGUAUAGGAGGCAAUUGGGGAUGCAUCCAUCUGAAAUGCAACCACCAGAACAAUCAUCCAAUUCCCUUUUCAUGCCAACACUUGGAAUUGGUUUAACUAGUGCUGCGUAAUUUACCAACUAUGGUCCUCUACUAUAAUGAGCCAGCCGUUCAACAAUGGAGAAAUCUCCGCUUAAAGCCAUAGUGGAAGACUUGCAAGAGAGAGAGAGAGAACCAAGAAAAACAAAGGAAGAGGGCAACCAUAGCAAAAAAUAGAAUGAUUGUUCGAGGGUCGGUUCCAUUUGUGCCUCCAAGAAAAAAUUCAGCAACUCGAUAGUAUUUUCUUUUUGUUUAAUGGAUGUAAUUUUUGUUAGAAAGACAAGAAACGAAAAUCUGGUGUAAUUUUGGUAUUGAAGACAAAACAAUGAUCCAUGUAAUCAUGAUUUGAAUUGCUAUUUUUGCAUAUUAGUUGAAUGAAAAUAUGCAUCUUGGUUUCUUGUUGGAAUGCUUUUUUGAAUUGCUAUUUCAGAGAGGAAAUUUUAGUGUAUAAUUGCCACAAUUAUUUGUUGAAUAGGUAAGAAUAAAAAUAAGAAAGCAAGGAACAAUUUCAUCUUUUGGCAUUAUAAUGAAAUUCUGCAGAUAUGUUAAUUUUUCUGCCAAUCCAAUGUUGAGGCUUCAUUUGAUAUAGUAGCUUGCACAUCCUUUCUUACUUUUAGCUUCAUAAAAUGGCCAGUAGAGUAUAAUACAUAAUUUGAAUGCGAUAUUGAUAGAAAUCAUGUAAAAACAUCAUAACAUCCAUUAUAUAUAUUCAUCUUGAUACUCAUUUUUUCCAAAAAAAAAAAUAAAAAAAUUUACCUUAUUAACUCAGUUUGUAGUAUAAGAAGAAAUAAAGGAAAUCAUUGGAGUCCUUUAACUUGGAAUAAGCAUAAUUUAGUCUGUUAUUAAUUUAGAUUAUUUCACAACACCAACAACAACAAACUAAGUUUUUUCCCAACAACAAGGGCUAGUUCUGUUGACAUCUUCACCUUAGAUUCUUGCUAAAAAGGUGAUUUUUCUGAGGUAGUGGCUUGGAGCAAGUAUACAAGCAAGCCUAUUUAGGACAAGGAAGUAUCAAUUGCAUUUUCUGAUAGAAUUCCCCAGGCCCCUAUUUGGAGGUUUGUAGCUUUGGAAAAUAGUAAGUUGAGCUUAAGAGGAUUAUAUUGGUUUCUUCAGCACACAAGUAUGUAAAUUACUCUAAAGAAGAUCUUGCCUAUCAAUCUGUGCCUAGAUGUUCAAUUAUAGAAAUGCAACAUAAAGACAGAGAAUUCAGAACUGCACCAAAGAGGGAAAGCCUUUAACACUAACAAUAAAGCAUUCCAAAUAGUACAAUGGAAUUUAGUGGAAGAAAAUCUUCAUUACAAACAUUUAUUAUAUACCCUUCAAGUAUCUGAGUACAUCAUUCUUAAUAGUAAUAAGAGAUGAGCACAAGGCACUAAAACACCACUUUUCUCUUCAUCACAUCCUUUAGCUUCAAUGUCAUAAGUACUAGACCUAAACUAAAAAUUCAAAACCACCUUCAACUACAGGAAGUAUCACAGAAUAUCUUGAGUCUUGGACCACGCCAAUGUCAUUAACAAAACAACUGCUAGUAAGAGGAACCCACAGUAUAGCAGUAUCUACCACCCAUAGAUGCUGGCUGAACAUGGCCAACCUUCAUCUUAUGCCUACGCUGCCAAAAUUGUAGAUGAAUUUAGAGUUCAUAUGAAUUUGGGGAUUUCUCAAAUUGGAGUUUAAUAUGCAUUUGUUCCUUGAUUUGGGGCUUAUACUGGGAUGAAAAUGGUUUGGAUUUAAUGUAAGGAAGAAUUGAGUAAUGUGAUGGAGAAGAAAUCAAUUUGGGGUUCCAGAGAAUUGAAUGAUGCUGUGAGGAAAAUAGCUAUGGAAAAUUUGGAAGGAAAAACCUAUUUUAAUUUAAUUGAUUUUGGUCCUUGCUAUCAAAAUAUUUAACAUU